rnacentral:rRNA from 1 species
AACGAACGCUGGCGGCAUGCCUAACACAUGCAAGUCGAACGAAGGCUUCGGCCUUAGUGGCGCACGGGUGAGUAGCGCGUGGGAACCUGCCCUGUUGUGGGGAUAACCGAGGGAACCUCGGCUAAUACCGCAUGAGCCGGAGAAAUCCGGGAAAGAUUUAUCGCCAAAGGAUCGGCCCGCGUCUGAUUAGCUUGUUGGUGAGGUAAUGGCUCACCAAGGCGACGAUCAGUAGCUGGUCUGAGAGGAUGAUCAGCCACACUGGGACUGAGACACGGCCCAGACUCCUACGGGAGGCAGCAGUGGGGAAUAUUGGACAAUGGGCGCAAGCCUGAUCCAGCCAUGCCGCGUGAGUGAUGAAGGCCC